GGAGGUAUAGCUCAAUGAUAGAGCAUGUGCUUAGCAUGCAAGAGGUCCUGGGUUCAAUCUCCAGUACCUCCA
rfam:Camelus ferus unplaced genomic scaffold scaffold853, whole genome shotgun sequence.